rnacentral:misc_RNA from 1 species
AAUCCAAUCAAGCCUGGCUUGGUAUUGGGCGUCGGGGAGUGUCCCGCGCCCCAAUUUCGCCGGCUGGCCGUCGCCUGUCUUAGCGUUGUGACACACUUCUCGCUAGCGAUGGGGGCGAACACGCCGUUAGAACCCUCUAAAUUUCGAUAGAAAUUUGAUUAA